rnacentral:lncRNA from 1 species
GCAGCAGAAAGUAAUUUUUAAAAUUUUAAAAUCAAACAAGUCAAUAGUUUUAACAGUUAAAACUAUCGAGCCGAAAUCCAAAUCCUAGAAUCAUCUUGCCGAUGUCGAUCAAAACAAAACAAGCAUGUAAAUGGAUAGAAUUUUUAGUUUUACCAAAAAGAUAAUGUAGAAUGUUGGUGAUCUUCAUGAGACUCCAAAAUAGAAGCCCUCCAAUGGUGAUCCACACGAAAGUUGGUCAAAAUCCUUCCUAAUCGGUGUGCCACCGCAGCCUUUUCUUCUUAAGAACACUGCCGACUUCGAACUCGAGGUACGAUCACACCAAAGCCCAGUUAUUUUCGAUCUUGCCAC